rnacentral:lncRNA from 1 species
GAAGUCUUCGAGAACGGAUCUGAGCCGACAAAGUCGAAUCCGGGCUCAAAAGGCUAAGGCAUGCCAGAACAAGGCCGGAAAUGGCCAAAGAGACUCGAAUCGACCAAAGUCUGGAUGAAGGCCUUUGAGGUCUAGCCUCGAAUCAUCAAUGAGCAAGCAUAUAGAAGCAGGGGAGGGUGAGUAGUGGUUGUUCAUGGCUAGAUUAGGCAUAGAUUCCGGUGAUUUGAGGUCGAAGGGAGUAGGCGGCUAUUAGGGUUUCAUGACGUUGAGAGCGUUCGAGAGAGAUGAGAGAAAUCAAA